UACAGAGGGUGCGAGCGUUAAUCGGAAUUACUGGGCGUAAAGCGUGCGUAGACGGUUAUUUAAGUCGGGUGUGAAAGCCCCGGGCUCAACCUGGGAAUUGCAUUCGAGACUGAAUAGCUAGGGUACGGUAGAGGGAAGUGGAAUUUCCGGUGUAGCGGUGAAAUGCGUAGAUAUCGGAAGGAACACCAGUGGCGAAGGCGGCUCACUGGUCCAUUACUGACGCUGAGGUGCGAAAGCGUGGGGAGCAAACAGG
rnacentral:rRNA from 1 species